UGUGAGCCAAACCACAGAACACUGCUGUG
rnacentral:piRNA from 1 species